UACGUAGGGACCAAGCGUUGUUCGGAUUUACUGGGCGUAAAGGGCGCGUAGGCGGCGUGACAAGUCACUUGUGAAAUCUCUGAGCUUAACUCAGAACGGCCAAGUGAAACUGUUGUGCUAGAGUGCAGAAGGGGCAAUCGGAAUUCUUGGUGUAGCGGUGAAAUGCGUAGAUAUCAAGAGGAACACCUGAGGUGAAGGCGGGUUGCUGGGCUGACACUGACGCUGAUGUGCGAAAGCUAGGGGAGCGAACGGG
rnacentral:rRNA from 1 species